GAAGGGCUGUGGCCCAGUGACAGCAGCAGCUGCCUUGCAUGCAGAAGGACCCAGGUUCAAUGCCUGGGAUUUUCU